UAAUAUUCAAUAGAAGAGCGGUAACAUUGUGGCCGAUCUACGAUUAGAACGUUCACGUUUUCGAGAAAGUUAAGAUCGAUUUCUAGCCUAGAUUUUUCAGAAGACGCUGUUUUUUGCAGAUAUUAGAUUUACAGUUGAGCAAAUUCUUUUGACAUCCAACAACACUGGAAUCUGGUGAAGUGUUGUGGGGUCUUAUGAAGAAUCAUAUAAGUGGUGUCUACUCCCUGGGACUUUGAAUACUCUUUUAAAACCUGCCCAGCAUUGGUUGGUGGGACACUUGCCUCUUGUCUGUUGAAUGGUACUCCUUGACAGUGACAUCCAGCAGCAGCUGCUAAAGGUCCCCAUCCAAUGUUGUGAGAACAUACAACCUCUUUUGUUGCUUUUCUGUAUUGUUGACCCUUUCCUCUGCUUUAUUGAUGAUAUUGAAGCAUUCCACUGUUCUUUGCCUUGCAAAUGAUAUGUGCUGAGCCAGGUGAUUCCUACUUUGUUAACCCAGCCUCAGGAACCAGGGAAAUUACUUUGCUAAAGGACUUUCCCAAUCACUCCUUGGAUACUUUGUCAAAUUCUUUGUAGAUCACUGUCCCAAAGUUUUUCACCUCCUUCUGUGUUUGUUUGGAAAUCUUUUUUGCCAGCCAGUUCUUUUUUUUAUUUUUAACAUCUAUAAAUGGCUCCCUUUUGUUCACCACACAGCAUGUAUUUUUCUUGUAAAAGAUACUCUCAACUGGAGUCAUUAAAAUAAAGCAUGAACACUGUGCAGGGUGUAAAUGCAAAACGCCAUUAAGUUUACCAAAGUCUCUUUGCAGGGUUGAUUUACCCAGGGCAGUUUGCUGCCAGCUUUCAAUGGUAAAUGUUUUUAGCUACUUCCUCUAUUUUUCAGUGGUGACCACUGUGAAAUUAGGUGAUCAAUGGCCUUAUAAUUCUUUAGAAAAAAACUUAUCAAAGAUAGGGAAUUUUGUUUGUAGUUGAUGCUGCUUUUUCCUAUCAGUAAGUAUUUGAAAACCUUCAAAUGGUUUGUCGAGAAAAGAAAUACUUUUGCUGACAUGUUGAUGAAAAUAUUCUUUGAAAUUUUCCUUGUACAGCCAAUACCUCUCUUCCAGAUGCCAGCUUAUGCCUUUUCUGACUCAUUAUCAUAUCUUGUUAUUUUUUCUUAUUUUUUGGCAAGGGAAAUUGCCCCCCAUAACUUAACAUGAGCAAAUCAGCAUGUCAAACUGAAAUUUGAAAAACUGACUGACCGUUGGUAAACUGACUUGGCAGCCAAGGCAAGAGAAACAUUUGGGAUUUUUUAUGUAAAAGCUGUCGUAUAUUUGACUCCACAGGAAACCACAAGCCAAACAAUGCGUUCCACGAGUGGAAAUUGCAAAAAAAAAAAAACAAAAGCAACUACAAAAAAACGCAAAUUAGCAAGAGUAGCAAAAAUACUGUCCUAGAGCGCCAAAUAAUAAACUAAGUCAGUUAUUUAAGCAGUAUCACUUUUCGCUGCAGUCCUCCUGGUAUAGUUAUUACUGUUUCAGGAGUAUCUCGAUUAAAGAUUAAAGUCAUUGUCCUAUAACCGAUGUUGACUGCCAUAUUCGAUUUGCACCUUUGUAAUCAGCGGUGUAAUGUAAUAGUCAGGUCUUAUUCAUGUAUUAUUAACGAAUAGAAACAAAAUGGCGGCAUUUUUCGUAGCCCUAAAAGGAGUAAUCAUAACGCACCCGCCGGUGCUGAAGUUUCCGUUUCACGCAAUUGUCUUUUGAAAAAUGGAAGAAGGCAUUGAUAAACUUUGUCUUCACGUUCGGAAUGAUGUGUCAAGUACAGUUGAUAACAAACAAAAUUCCAUUAAGUUUACAAAAUUCUCUUCGCAGCUCUAACAAAUCUCAAUUCUCUUUUUGAA